GAGUUUGAUCUUGGCUCAGAUUGAACGCUGGCGGCAUGCCUUACACAUGCAAGUCGAACGGUAACGCGGGGCAACCUGGCGACGAGUGGCGAACGGGUGAGUAAUGCAUCGGAACGUGCCCAGUAGUGGGGGAUAGCCCGGCGAAAGCCGGAUUAAUACCGCAUACGACCUACGGGUGAAAGCGGGGGACCGCAAGGCCUCGCGCUAUUGGAGCGGCCGAUGUCAGAUUAGGUAGUUGGUGGGGUAAAGGCCUACCAAGCCGACGAUCUGUAGCUGGUCUGAGAGGACGACCAGCCACACUGGGACUGAGACACGGCCCAGACUCCUACGGGAGGCAGCAGUGGGGAAUUUUGGACAAUGGGCGCAAGCCUGAUCCAGCCAUGCCGCGUGCGGGAAGAAGGCC
rnacentral:rRNA from 1 species